GAUGAGGGGCACCGGCAACACCUAUAGAUAGCACACGAAGGUAAGCAAACAAAGCUUUCUCCUCUAGAUCUCCACGACUUACAUUGGCGCGCAGGCAGCCAAAGAAGGCCUCGAUGAAUUCCAGGCCGGGGUUGUAGAGGAGAAGCACUCGGUCCCCGUCAUGGAGCGUGACCUUGUGGGUGACGAGAUUGUGGGCGAUGGUGUUGGCGUUGUUGUGGAGCUGAGCGUAAGUCCUGGAGCCUGAUUCGUCACCCUUGUCGUCCAGCCAGGUGUAGAGGACCUUGUCCCUCGCCACGCUGUGCUUGGCAUAGAAGUGGAGGUAAGAAUCCAGGCAUGGAAG
rnacentral:lncRNA from 1 species